rnacentral:rRNA from 1 species
CCUACGGGAGGCAGCAGUGGGGAAUAUUGCACAAUGGGGGAAACCCUGAUGCAGCGACGCCGCGUGAGGGAAGAAGUAUUUCGGUACGUAAAGCUCUAUCAGCAGGGAAGAAAAUGACGGUACCUGACUAAGAAGCCCCGGCUAACUACGUGCCAGCAGCCGGGGUAAUGCGUAGGGGGCAAGCGUUAUCCGGAGUUACUGGGUGUAAAGGGAGCGUAGACGGCAGCGCAAGUCUGGAGUGAAAUCCGAUGGCUUAACCAUGGAACUGCUGUGGAAACUGUGCGGCUGGAGUGGAGGAGAGGUAAGCGGAAUGCCUGGUGUAGCGGUGAAAUGCAUAGAUAUUAGGAAGAACACCGAUGGCGAAGGCAGCGUACUGGACUGUAACUGACGUUGAGGCUCGAAAGCGUGGGGAGCGAACAGGAUUAGAUACCCCUGUAGUC